ACGAACGCUGGCGGCGUGCUUAACACAUGCAAGUCGAACGGAAAGGCCCUGCUUUUGUGGGGUGCUCGAGUGGCGAACGGGGGAGUAACACGUGAGUAACCUGCCCUUGACUUUGGGAUAACUUCAGGAAACUGGGGCUAAUACCGGAUAGGAGCUCCUGCUGCAUGGUGGGGGUUGGAAAGUUUCGGCGGUUGGGGAUGGACUCGCGGCUUAUCAGCUUGUUGGUGGGGUAGUGGCUUACCAAGGCUUUGACGGGUAGCCGGCCUGAGAGGGUGACCGGCCCCAUUGGGACUGAGAUACGGCCCAGACUCCUACGGGAGGCAGCAGUGGGGAAUAUUGCACAAUGGGCGGAAGCCUGAUGCAGCAACGCCGCGUGCGGUAUGACGGCCUUCGGGUUGUAAACCGCUUUCGCCUGUGACGAAGCGUGAGUGACGGUAAUGGGUAAAGAAGCACCGGCUAACUACGUG
rnacentral:rRNA from 1 species